AGAUCUCGCUCAGCCAAGUGCACAACCUGAGUAAGUACACUUAUCGAGGAGUGAUAGGGCAGCAGAGUUUGAGGCAAAAAAAAGAUUUGGGUGGCUAUGGGUGAUAUGGGGAAUCUAACAAUUAAUUGACAAUGAUUUCACCGUGAUGUGCAUUGGUAGCUUCAAGAUGAAGGCAUUUUCCAUAUGUAAGCCACAAUUUAAGUAUCUUAUUCUUCUGAACCAGGAAAAGCGUUCUGGUAAGGAGGAUGAAAGAAGAGUACGAAAAAGGAAGUCCAAAGUCGUAGUCUUUAACAAGGCUUUCCUUCAUCAGUGUAAAUAUCUAAAGUAGAGGCUUUGGUAUAAACAUAAAUCCCAUGAUAGAGGGAUCGAUCAUCACAUUCUGCUUUGUUAAGAAAGAAGGAUAACCUAGAUACAACGCGCAAAACCUUACCAGCCCUUGACAUAUGAACAACAAAACCUGUCCUUAACAGGAUGGUACUGACUUUCAUAUAGGUGCUGCAUGGCUGUCGUCUGCUCGUGUCGUGAGAUGUUUGGUCAAGUCCUAUAACGAGCGAAACCCUCGUUUUGUGUUGCUGAGACAUGCGCCUAAGGAGAAAUUGCCACCGAGUGACGUGCCAGCGCUACUACUUGAUUGAGUGCCAGCACGUAGUUGUGCUUUCAGCAAGAAUUUCACCAUUGGGAGCCGGUGCCUUUCGAAGCACUUUCACGUGUGAACCGAAGUUGUCUUGCCCAAGACCCACGGAGACCUACCUAUAGUGACGUCAAAGUACCAGUGAGCAUGGAGGUUUGGUUGAAAUUGGUUACGACAACGUCGAGUUGGCGGCGGAGGAAGACUCGGCAUGAAGGCCAGAAAAUGGUGUGGAACGUAGUGGUAAUAGUACGCGCCCCGCUCCGAAACAAAGAAAAAGGUGCGUGCCGCACUCACGAGGGACUGCCAGUGAGAUACUAGAGGAAGGUGGGGAUGACGUCAAGUCCGCAUGGCCCUUAUGGGCUGGGCCACACAUGUGCUACAAUGGCAAUGACAAUGGGAAGCAAGGCUGUAAGGCGGAGCAAAUCCGGAAAGAUUGCCUCAGUUCGGAUUGUUCUCUGCAACUCGGGAACAUGAAGUUGAAAUCGCUAGUAAUCGCGGAUCAGCAUGCCGCGGUGAAUAUGUACCCGGGCCCUGUACACACCGCCCGUCACACCCUGGGAAUUGGUUUCGCCCGAAGCAUCGGACCAAUGAUCAUCCAUGACUUCUGUGUACCACUAGUGCCACAAAGGCCUUUGGUGGUCUUAUUGGCGCAUACCACGGUGGGGUCUUCAACUGGGGUGAAGUCGUAACAAGGUAGCUGUAGGGGAACCUGUGGCUGGAUUGAAUCCUUC
rfam:Triticum aestivum genome assembly, contig: Triticum_aestivum_CS42_TGACv1_scaffold_562826_7AL